GCUCAGUGGGCGCAGAGUCGCCGGCGCUGUUGUUUGUUUCACGGGUCUGUGCGCAGCGCCUGCCGCCGCCUAACAAUCCCUCUCUCAUUGUGUGCGCGGCCCCCGUUUUGCCUGGGUCAGCGGCUCCCGGGGUGCGUCCGUUCCCCGUCUUUCCUUCUCGUGCGCUUCCGCGGAGUGGUUUGUCCGCGCCGCUUGCCCGCUGAGAGGGGGCGUCCCCUCAGCCCGCGCCCCUUUUCUCCCCGCUCCUGGCCGGGGGCUUGCGGCGCUUCCUUCUGGAUGCGUCCCCGCAGCCCCGGGCGGGAGGCGGCCAGGGGGGAAGCGCUGCCUCCGAGGAUUUACCGCCGCCUGGGACUCGGACCCGCUCCUUCCCGGCGGGCGCACCCGGCGCCCCGGCUCCGCUGCCGCUCCGGGCCGCCGCUGCCAUGGACGAGAAGUACCUGCCCGAGCUGAUGGCGGAGAAGGACUCGCUGGACCCGUCCUUCACCCACGCCUUGCGGCUGGUCAACCAAGAAAUUGAAAAAUUCCAAAAAGGGGAAGGAAAGGAAGAAGAAAAGUAUAUUGAUGUAGUCAUCAAUAAGAAUAUGAAGUUGGGACAAAAAGUUCUGAUUCCAGUAAAACAAUUCCCUAAGUUCAACUUUGUGGGAAAACUUCUGGGUCCACGUGGUAAUUCUCUAAAACGUUUACAGGAAGAAACACUGACAAAAAUGUCUAUUUUGGGGAAAGGCUCUAUGAGGGACAAGACAAAGGAGGAAGAGUUGAGAAAAAGUGGAGAAGCUAAAUAUUUCCACCUAAAUGACGACCUACAUGUUUUGAUUGAAGUAUUUGCUCCACCUGCAGAAGCAUAUGCCAGAAUGGGACAUGCCUUGGAAGAAAUCAAGAAGUUCCUCAUCCCUGACUACAAUGAUGAAAUCAGACAGGCACAGCUUCAAGAGUUAACAUAUUUAAAUGGUGGCUCAGAAACUGCAGAAGUUCCAGUUGUCCGUGGAAAAUCAUCAAUUCGAGCCAGAGGAGUGCCUGUUCCUGCUUUGUCCAGGGGCCGUGGGGGAGUGCCUCCACCACCAGCAGGAGUGCCCAGAGGGGCACCAGCCCCGCGGGGAGUCCCUCCCAGCCGAGGACCAGUGAGCCGGAGCCGGGGACUGCUGGCCCCCAGAGCACGAGGAGUUCCUCCCCCGGCAGGGUACCGGCCCCUGCCGCCGCCGCCCGCCCAGGACACCUACGGGGAGUAUGAGUAUGAUGAUGGCUAUGGAGCUGCUUAUGAUGAGCAAAGCUAUGAUUCCUAUGAUAACAGCUAUAGCACUCAAGCACAAAGUGGAGCAGAUUACUACGACUAUGGCCACGGACUGACUGAAGACACCUACGACUCCUACGGGCAAGAAGAAUGGACCAACUCACGACACAAGACACCUUCUGCAAGGACAACAAAAGGAGUCUACAGAGACCAGCCAUAUGCCAGAUACUGAUUGUACUGUCUGAUGUUGUGAAAUAUCCAAUCUCCACCAGUCCUGUAUACUGUUCAAAGUAAUUUUUUCUAUGAACAAUCCCUUUUUAUUAACUCAAAGUGCAUAAAAAAUCUGAGUGGAUGGACUGAACUUAAAAACAUUUUGUUGAAAGAACAACCUGGACAGAAAGAUAUGUAAAACAAGGAACUUUGUUAUUUCCAAACUGUGUUUGAAAGAAUAGGUGAUCAGAAAAAUAACCUUUGAUUAACUAGUGUUAAACAAAAAUAGGUUUACUAAAUACAUUAGUCCAUUCUUUUUAACAUAACAUUAUUUGAAAGGUUUUCAACAAUUUAGUUUAUAGCUUUUAUUUUCAGCCAUUUGCUAGAUUUUCUCUUUGCAAACAUGCGUAAAAAGGGAAGCAAACUACAAAUGCGAAUAAUGUGGUAUUUUGUAACUCAAGUCUUGAAAUGUUCUGUAGUGUUAAGCAAAGUUUUACCCUUGCUUGAUACUAAAUAAACUUUUGAAAGAAAAUCAGUGUGUGUGAGAUUAAUUUUAUGCUUUAUCUUAUAAUAAAACUUCAUAAAUAGUAGUAAACAGGGAGAAAUGUUUAACAGUGAUCAGCAUAAAAGGCUCAUAUUAAACACUGUGCAACUUCUUUUAAAACAAAAUGGUUUAAACCUAAAUGUAUCUCUCUAUAUACUCACAGUAGAUAUAAAUGCUGUUUAAAAUAUCCAAAUGGUAUGGAUCUGCUGGAGUGCCACAUUAAAUCAAAAUACUUUUGUUAAAAAAAAAAUGGUUUAAAAUAGCAAAUGAAUUUUCUGGAAAAAGAUGUGACUAGUUUUCACCUUGUUGAGCAUUUUUUCACUAGUGCAACUUGGGAAUUUUUAUGAGAAUUUUGGUACGUUAAUGACCACCUCGCUCCGUGCUGGAAGCAAUAAACACAAAGCUUUUAAAGACUUUCUGACUUGACUAAUUGAGGUCGCUUUCGCCAGAGGCAGAGGAUGUGUAACCCUUAAAACGGUCUUCAUUUGCAAAGGAAACUCACCUUCUUGGACAGCCAAAAGAACAAAAACCCUAAUCUUCUGAUGCUUUGGAACUUCUGCCAUGUUAAUUAUGGACUGCUUAGAGCACUGUACUUACCCUUGUGCUCAGACAUUGACGAGACCGAGUAUGAAAAUACUGCUCAGCAUUUCUUGUAUGAAAGCCUUAAAGUGUAUAACAGCAAACAUACACUUUUUAAAAUAAUUGUAUAUUGAAACAAUUAACUGUAUAGUUAUGUAUAGUGUUGCAACAAUGUUUUAUUUGGAGCUCAAUAAAGAAUUUCCAUCUAAGUUCCUGUUACAAAGCAAUAAUGCAACCUCCCAUUCUUUAGUGACUCUUUUUAGCCUUAUGCAGCAAGUGUAAGAGAGUGCGUGAAGUCUCAUGACUAGAACUUAAAUGCUUUUGGAAAUAGCUUGUCUAAUGUAUGAACAACAUGGAUAAGUUAAAAUGAAGAUUGGUGUUUUCUGCUGAAGCUUUUCUUAAUAGCUAAUUGUAAACAAAUCUGCUCCAGACAAGACUCUUGGGUAAAAAUAAUGCUCCAACUUCCAUUUCCUUCAAAAACUUGUAUAACAAAAAAAUGUUUAAUCCCUGUCAAUUAUUAUAUCAAUAAGGAGCAAUCCCUGCUGCUUAUUCUCUUUCACUUGGUGUUUGAUGCAUAGAAAUCUUUUCUCUGAUACACAGUCACAGAUUUUCUAGUAGUAGUCUUGGAUGAGGCUUUUACACCUUGAUAAAUCUUGUAUCCAACAGUCAUGUUUCCUCAGUGCUUUCUGUUUUAUAUUAAUUGUGAUUGUGAUAAUUUGUAACAGAAAUAAAGUUCUGAUAAUUU